GACAGAGGGUGCAAACGUUGUUCGGAAUUACUGGGCGUAAAGCGCGUGUAGGCUGCUCUGCAAGUCGGAUGUGAAAGCCCUGGGCUCAACCUAGGAAGUGCACUCGAAACUGCGGAGCUUGAGUCUCGGAGAGGAUCGCGGAAUUCUCGGUGUAGAGGUGAAAUUCGUAGAUAUCGAGAGGAACACCGGUGGCGAAGGCUGCGAUCUGGACGAUGACUGACGCUGAGACGCGAAAGCGUGGGGAGCAAACAGG
rnacentral:rRNA from 1 species